rnacentral:misc_RNA from 1 species
GAUGAAGAACGUAGCGAAAUGCGAUAAGUAAUGUGAAUUGCAGAAUUCAGUGAAUCAUCGAAUCUUUGAACGCACAUUGCGCCCGCCAGUACUCUGGCGGGCAUGCCUGUUCGAGCGUCAUUUCAACCCUUGGGCCCCGCAUUCGUGCGGGCCCCGGCGUUGGGGACCGGCCUCCGCAUCGGACGGCCGCCCCCGAAACCCAGUGGCGGUCCCGCCGCGGCCUUCUCUGCGUAGUAGCAUACACCUCGCACUGGAGAGCGGCGCGGCCACGCCGUAAAAGAAACGAACUUUCUGAAGGUUGACCUCGGAUCAGGUAGGAAUACCCGCUGAACUUAAGCAUAUCAAUAAGCGGAGGA